AUGCGCUAUUGGAAGGUGCGCCCCAACCAAUCAAUAUAUAUCCCGCGGGCCUCCUGUUUGGAGGCUGAGACGCUUCACUACGAUCUUCCACAUGGUAUACAGAGCUACCCUCUUCCCCUUCGUCUAGCCAUCCCUUCUUCCACCUCCAAAUUCGACAAUGUCGACGUCCACCUCGGUUGUCUCCACCGGCCUCAACAACAACGUCUCCGAACCCCUCACUCGUUCCAAUUAUGUUCUCUGGCGUGCCCAAGCUCGUUCCCAGAUCAUGGGACGGGCCUCUUCGGGUACGUCGACAAAACCCUAGAAGCGCCACCCAAAACCAUCACCAGCAAGAACGCCGAGGGCAAAGAUCAGGUGACUGUGAACCCUGCUUAUGCGCCUUGGCUCAUCCAAGACCAACAGAUCGUUGCAUACCUCUUCCGCAAUCUCUCGAAAGAAGUUCUAGUUCAAGUAGCAUCUCUUGAAACCUCCCAUGCCAUCUGGUCAGACCUCGCCAACAUGUUCUCUGCCCAAUCCCGUUCCCGCUGCAACCACAUCCGCAUCUCCCUCACCACUGCCCAGAAGGGAACUCAGUCUGCUGCUGCAUACUUUGGCUACAUGCGCGGUAUCGCUGAUGAGAUUGCAGCGGCUGGGAAACCCAUCGAUGAGGACGAACUCGUGUCUCACAUCAUAUCCGGGCUCGACAUGGAAUAUCAGCCCAUCAUCAGCACCCUGGACAUGCGUCCUGAGCCAACCACCGUCGACGAACUCUUCGGUAUGGUAUCUACUUUUGAUCAGAGGGUUGAGAUGUUCUAG
rnacentral:rRNA from 1 species